rnacentral:lncRNA from 1 species
AAAUCUUGUCAUGCCCUUGCUGUUCCUUCUGCUGUUGGCUAUUAGCAGGGUUCAGUUUUUGGAAGUUUUGACAGCCAGUUUGAAAGUUAAGUAAGGUCAGAAAUGAGGGAGUAAGUGAAGGGGGUUGGAAUGGGUGAGGUUUGUUGGUUGCAAAGCAAGGUUGGAUGGAUGCUUGUUCUGCUGGUUUUUAUGACAGGAAAAUGGGGUGUAUGUCCUGCUGUUC